GACGAACGCUGGCGGCGUGCUUAACACAUGCCAGUCGAACGGAAAGGCCCUGCUUUUGUGGUGUUCUCGAGUGGCGAACGGGUGAGUAACACGUGAGUAACCUGCCCUUGACUUUGGGAUAACUUCAGGAAACUGGGCCUAAUACCGGAUAGGAGCUCCUGCUGCAUGGUGGGGGUUGGAACGUUUCGGCGGUUGGGGAUGGACUCGCGGCUUAUCAGCUUGUUGGUGGGGUAGUGGCUUACCAAGGCUUUGACGGGUAGCCGGCCUGAGAGGGUGACCGGCCACAUUGGGACUGAGAUACGGCCCAGACUCCUACGGGAGGCAGCGGUGGGGAAUAUUGCACAAUGGGCGGAAGCCUGAUGAAGCAACGCCGCGUGCGGGAUGACGGCCUUCGGGUUGUAAACCGCUUUCGCCUGUGACGAAGCGUGAGUGACGGUAAUGGGUAAAGAAGCACCGGCUAACUACGUG
rnacentral:rRNA from 1 species